rnacentral:misc_RNA from 1 species
UACGGAGGGUGCGAGCGCUGUUCGGAAUCAUUGGGCGUAAAGCGCGCGCAGGCGGCUCUUUAAGCCUACGGGUGAAAUGCCGGGGCUCAACCCCGUGCAUGCCCGAGAUACUGGGGGGCUGGAGACACGUAGAGGCAAGCGGAAUUCCGGGUGUAGCGGUGGAAUGCGUAGAGAUCCGGAAGAACACCGGAGGCGAAGGCGGCUUGCUGGGCGUGAUCUGACGCUGAGGCGCGAAAGCGUGGGGAGCGAUCAGG